AAUGGAAGAUAAAGUGACCAGUCCGGAGAAAGCUGAAGAAGCAAAAUUAAAAGCAAGUUAUCCUCAUCUGGGACAAAAGCCUGGAGGUUCAGAUUUCUUAAGGAAACGAUUGCAAGAAAGGCAAAAAUAUUUUGAUUCUGGAGAUUACAACAUGGCAAAAGCAAAAAUGAAGAACAAGCAACUUCCUGCCGCAGCCCCAGAUAAGACGGAGGUCACUGGUGACCACAUUCCCACUCCACAGGACCUUCCUCAACGGAAACCAUCCCUUGUUGCUAGCAAACUGGCUGGCUGAUUAAAAGAGCUGAACUGCACGAAUCCUCUAAUUCCCAUUAUUUCUCCUUAAUAUGUUACUUAUCCUCUUUUUAUUUCCUUUCACUAAGUCAUUUGAGACUGAAAGCUUUGCAGGUAGCAGUAGUGUGUGCUGCUAUUGUAAGGGAAUAUUACACGUGUAGAGUGUUGAUUAGUUUAACAGUGCACUGAUGAAAAGGACAUGUUAGAGCAACAUAAGUAAUCUACUUGAAAAUAAUUGUAUAUAUUACCUAACUACUAGUAUAGGGCUGGUUACAACAAGCAAGUUUAACAGUUCUAAUGUUUUGGCUUUAAUUACUUCAUCUUAAUUAUAGCUUUGUAUGUUACUCUUAUUUAAUAUAACUUCUAUUGUAUUGAUUUCUUCUGUAUUUACCUUUUGGAUUUUGUAAAACAGAAGUUUAAGACCACAAGUUGGAAGUAGGUUACAUAUUUCAAACACAAAUAGAUGGGGCUCUGAAAGAUUUGUAUCUCUGUGCUUAAACUUGAAUGGCCUUAAACCUGUUUCAGCUUUAACAGUAACAUUUUACUUGGGCAAUAUUUGCCCUCUCUGGUGUAACUUACAUGACUCUAGUGCUUACCAGCUCCCCACGAAGCUAGUAUCCUUACUCAGUUCUGUAGUUUCAGAAUACCUUUUGUUGAGGAUGUGAAUGAAGUGUGCAUGUGCAUCGACUGUUGAAUUCACUUUUGUGCCAUUUUUGUAAAUACAAUAGUUUUGCACAACCUCUCA